AAAAAGACAAACCCUGAUUUCCGUGCCCAACGUUUGACCGUCCGUCUUAUUUGAAAAAUUAUGAAAAAAAUUAAAAGACAAGUCACGCACAAAGUAUUAAUCAUGUUUUAUCAUCUAACUACAAUAAAAAUAUGAAUUAUAAAAAAAUUUCAUAUAAGACGGACAGUCAAAGUUGGACACGAAAACCUAGGAUUUGCCUUUUU
rnacentral:pre_miRNA from 1 species